rnacentral:rRNA from 1 species
CUGGUUGAUCCUGCCAGAGGCCACUGCUAUCGGAGUACGACUUAGCCAUGCGAGUCACAGGGGCGCAAGCCACUGGCAGACGGCUCAGUAACACGUAGGUAACCUACCCUUCGGAUGGGCAUAACCCCGGGAAACUGGGGCUAAUUCCCAAUAGGCACCCCCCUCUGGAAUGGGGGGAUGUCCAAAGCUCCGGCGCCGAAGGAUGGGCCUGCGGCCGAUUAGGUUGUUGGCGGGGUAACAGCCCACCAAGCCGACGAUCGGUACGGGCAGUGAGAGCUGUAGCCCGGAGAUGGGGACUGAGACAAGGGCCCAGGGCCUACGGGGCGCAGCAGGCGCGAAACCUUCACAAUGGACGAAAGUGUGAUGAGGGUACUCCGAGUGCGCAUACAUUUGGAUGGGCUUUUCUGCAGCGUAAAUAGUUGCAGGAAUAAGGGCUGGGCAAGACCGGUGCCNGCCGCCGCGGUAACACCGGCAGGCCCUAGUGGUGGCCGCUUUUAGUGGGCCUAAAGCGGCCGUAGCCGGAUAGGCAAGUCUUUGGGUAAAUCCUACGUCUUAAGCGGGGGAAUUCUAAAGAUACUAGNUGGUCUUGAGGGCGGGANNAGGCUAGAGGUGCUCCUUGGGGUAGGGGUAAAAUCCUAUAAAUCCUGGGGGGACCAGCCGAUGGCGAAGGGCAUCUAGCUGGGACGGGGCCUGACGGUGAGGGACGAAACCC